AUUGAACGCUGGCGGCAUGCCUUACACAUGCAAGUCGAACGGCAGCACGGGAGCAAUCCUGGUGGCGAGUGGCGAACGGGUGAGUAAUAUAUCGGAACGUGCCCGGUCGUGGGGGAUAACGUAGCGAAAGCUACGCUAAUACCGCAUACGAUCUACGGAUGAAAGCGGGGGAUCGCAAGACCUCGCGCGAUUGGAGCGGCCGAUAUCAGAUUAGGUAGUUGGUGAGGUAAAGGCUCACCAAGCCGACGAUCUGUAGCUGGUCUGAGAGGAUGAUCAGUCACACUGGAACUGAGACACGGUCCAGACUCCUACGGGAGGCAGCAGUGGGGAAUUUUGGACAAUGGGCGCAAGCCUGAUCCAGCAAUGCCGCGUGCAGGAUGAAGGCC
rnacentral:rRNA from 1 species